UCCGGUUGAUCCCGCCGGAGGCUACCGCUAUUGGAGUUCGAUUAAGCCAUGCGAGUCGCGAGAAAUUAGAUUCUCGGCGUACCGCUCAGUAACACGUGGGUAACCUGCCCUAUGCUGGAUAAUAACCUCGGGAAACUGAGAAUAAUGAUCCAUAGUUCACUACGCCUGGAACGGUGAGUGGAUGAAAGCUCCGGCGGCAUAGGAUGGGCCUGCGGCGUAUCAGGUUGUAGGGGGUGUAACGUACCCUCUAGCCCUCUACGCGUACGGGUGUUGGGAGACAUAGCCCGGAGAUGGAUUCUGAGACACGAAUCCAGACCCUACGGGGUGCAGCAGGCGCGAAAACUUGGCAAUGCGAGAAAUCGUGACCAGGGAACUCCAAGUGCAUCGGGUAAGACCGGUGCUUUUCUUGACUCUAAAUAGGUCUUGGAAUAAGGGGUGGGUAAGGACGGUGCCAGCCGCCGCGGUAAUACCGGCGCCUCAAGUGGUAGUCGCUUUUAUUGGGCCUAAAACGUCCGUAGCCGGUCUGAUACAUUCGUGGGUAAAUCAACCAGCUUAACUGGUUGAAUUCUGCGAGGACGGUCAGACUUGGGACCGGGAGAGGUGUGGGGUACGCUCAGGGUAGGGGUAAAAUCCUGUCAUCCUGAGCGGACCACCUGUUGCGAAGGCGCCACACUAGAACGGAUCCGACGGUCAGGGACGAAGCCUAGGGGCACGAACCGGAUUAGAUACCCGGGUAGUCCUAGGUGUAAACGCUGUGGACUUGAUGUUGGGGGUGCUCCGAGCACUCUCAGUGUCGAAGCGAAGGUGAUAAGUCCACUGCCUGGGAAGUACGGUCGCAAGGCUGAAACUUAAAGGAAUUGGCGGGGGAGCACCGCAACCUGAGGAUUGUGCGGUUUAAUUGGAUUCAACGCC
rnacentral:rRNA from 1 species